rnacentral:rRNA from 1 species
GAGUUUGAUCCUGGCUCAGGACUAACGCUGGCUGGCGUGCCUAACACAUGCAAGUCUUGGGAGAAAGGGGUAGCAAUAUCCUGAGUAAACCGGCGCAAGGGUGAGUAACACGUAUGCAACCUGCCUUUAGGACGAGGAUAACUCCGAGAAAUCGGGGCUAAUACUCGAUUAUGCAGCGGCACCGCAUGGUGACAGUUGUUAAAAGCCCGCAAGGGUGCCUAAAGAUGGGCCUGCGUCCCAUUAGGUAGUUGGUGAGGUAACGGCCCACCAAGCCUACGAUGGGUAGCUGGUCUGAGAGGAUGAUCAGCCACACUGGAACUGAGAUACGGUCCAGACUCCUACGGGUAGGCAGCAGUGAGGAAUAUUGCGCAAUGUCCGAAAGGGUGACGCAGCGACGCCGCGUGGAGGAUGAAGGCCCUAUGGGUCGUAAACUCCUUUUAAGGGGGAAGAAUAGUCUCGUAUAGCGAGAUUUGACGGUACCUCUAGACGCUCAUGCUCGAAAGCGUGGGGAGCAAAUAGGAUUAGAUACCCUGGUAGUCCACGCCCUAAACGAUGGAUACUCGAUGUCGGGCCGCAAGGUCCGGUGUCCAAGCUAACGCAUUAAAGUAUCCCACCUGGGGAGUACGAUCGCAAGGUUGAAACUCAAAGGAAUUGACGGGGGCCCGCACAAGCAGUGGAGCAUGUGGUUCAAUUCGAUGCAACGCGAAGAACCUUACCUGGGUUUGGAAAAGCCAGUGACACCCGAUGAAAGUCGGUCUCGUAGCAAUACGCACUGGUACAGGUGCUGCAUGGCUGUCGUCAGCUCGUGCCGUGAGGUGUUAGGUUAAGUCCUGCAACGAGCGCAACCCCUACACUUAGUUGCCAUCAGGUCAAGCUGGGCACUCUAAGUGGACUGCCUACGCAAGUAGUGAGGAAGGCGGGGAUGACGUCAAGUCCUCAUGGCCCUUACACCCAAGGCCACACACGUGCUACAAUGGCCGCUACAAAGGGUCGCAAGAGCGCAAGCUGGAGCUAAUCCCAUAAAAGCGGUCUCAGUUCGGAUUGAGGGCUGCAACUCGCCCUCAUGAAGCUGGAAUUGCUAGUAAUCGCGGGUCAGCACGCCGCGGUGAAUACGUUCCCGGGCCUUGUACACACCGCCCGUCAAGCCAUGGAAGCUGGGGGUACCCGAAGUCGUUUUCCCAACCGCAAGGAGGGGAACGCCUAAGGUAAAAUCAGUGACUGGGGCUAAGUCGUAACAAGGUAGC